rnacentral:rRNA from 1 species
ACGGUGGCUAAUACCGCAUAACGUCGCAAGACCAAAGAGGGGGACCUUCGGGCCUCUCACUAUCGGAUGAACCCAGAUGGGAUUAGCUAGUAGGCGGGGUAAUGGCCCACCUAGGCGACGAUCCCUAGCUGGUCUGAGAGGAUGACCAGCCACACUGGAACUGAGACACGGUCCAGACUCCUACGGGAGGCAGCAGUGGGGAAUAUUGCACAAUGGGCGCAAGCCUGAUGCAGCCAUGCCGCGUGUAUGAAGAAGGCCUUCGGGUUGUAAAGUACUUUCAGCGGGGAGGAAGGCGAUGGGGUUAAUAACCCUGUCGAUUGACGUUACCCGCAGAAGAAGCACCGGCUAACUCCGUGCCAGCAGCCGCGGUAAUACGGAGGGUGCAAGCGUUAAUCGGAAUUACUGGGCGUAAAGCGCACGCAGGCGGUCUGUUAAGUCAGAUGUGAAAUCCCCGGGCUUAACCUGGGAACUGCAUUUGAAACUGGCAGGCUUGAGUCUUGUAGAGGGGGGUAGAAUUCCAGGUGUAGCGGUGAAAUGCGUAGAGAUCUGGAGGAAUACCGGUGG